GGUCAAGAUAUAAAGGGCAUACGGUGGAUGCCUUGGCGCCAAGAGCCGAAGAAGGACGCGGUCAGCAGCGAAAUGCCACGGGGAGCCGUAAGCAGGCAUAGAUCCGUGGAUGUCCGAAUGGGGAAACCCGUACGGAGUCAUAUCCGUACAUCCCGUGCCGAACACAUAAGCACGGAGAAGGCAAGCCGGGGAACUGAAACAUCUAAGUACCCGGAGGAAAAGAAAGAAAAAUCGAUUCCCUGAGUAGCGGCGAGCGAACGGGGAAAAGCCCAAACCAUAUUCUUCGGGAUAUGGGGUUGUAGGACUGCCAUGAGCGGGACGGACGGUUAGCCGAACAGGCCUGGAAAGGCCGGGCGGAGAAGGUAAGACCCCUGUAGGCGAAAACCGGAAGUUUCCAGGCAGGAUCCUGAGUACCGCGGGACACGUGGAAUCCCGUGGGAAUCCGGAGGGACCACCCUCCAAGGCUAAAUACUCCUUGGCGACCGAUAGUGAACAAGUACCGUGAGGGAAAGGUGAAAAGCACCCCGGGAGGGGAGUGAAAUAGUACCUGAAACCGUAUUGCUUACAAACAGUCACAGCGUGGGCUUAGGCUAGCGUAGUGGCGUGCCUUUUGUAGAAUGAACCAGCGAGUUGCGAUACGCAGCGAGGUUAAGUGUCUAAGACACGGAGCCGCAGGGAAACCGAGUCUGAAAAGGGCGUACAGUUGCGUGUCGCAGACCCGAAACCGUGUGAUCUACCCAUGGUCAGGGUGAAGGUGGGGUAAAACCCAGUGGAGGCCCGAACUCACUGUCGUUGAAAAGGCAGGGGAUGAACUGUGGGUAGGGGUGAAAUGCCAAUCGAACACGGAAUUAGCUGGUACUCCCCGAAAUAGCUUUAGGGCUAGCCUCAAUGGAUGGUAUAUGGGGGUAGAGCACUGAAUGGGCUAAGGGCCUUAUCGGUUACUGAACCUUAUCAAACUGCGAAUACCAUAUAUAAGAAAUUGGGAGUCAGACUGUGGGGGCUAAGCUUCAUAGUCGAAAGGGAAACAGCCCGGACCGCCGGCUAAGGCCCCUAAGCGCAGCUAAGUGGAAAAGGAUGUGGAGUUGCCCGGACAACCAGGAUGUUGGCUCAGAAGCAGCCACCAUUUAAAGAGUGCGUAAUAGCUCACUGGUCGAGUGAUUCUGCGCCGAAAAUGAAACGGGGCUCAAGCUGCGCGCCGAAGCCGCGGAUUUUGGAGAAAUCCGAAAUGGUAGGGGAGCAUUGUAAACACAGUGAAGGUGAGCCGUGAGGCGAGCUGGAGAGUUUACAAGAGAGAAUGCUGGUAUGAGUAUGCGAAAAGGCAGGUGAGAAUCCUGCCCGCCGAAAAUCUAAGGUUUCCUGGGGAAGGCUCGUCCGCCCAGGGUAAGUCGGGACCUAAGCUGAGGCCGAAAGGCGUAGGUGAUGGACAAUUGGUUGAGACUCCAAUACCGCCGUUGAUUGUAUGACCGAUGGGGUGACACAGGAGGAUGAAGCGAGCGCGCGGUUGGUAGAGCGCGUCCAAGACGCAAGGCGGUGGCGCAGGCAAAUCCGCGCCGCGAUAACGCUGAGCGUUUAAGGGGAGUGAAACAAAGUAACGAAGCGCAAGAGUUCAUACUGUCAAGAAAAGCCUCUAGGGAGAGAGACGGCGCCCGUACCGCAAACCGACACAGGUAGAUGAGGAGAGAAUCCUAAGGCGCGCGAGAAAACCCUCGUUAAGGAACUCGGCAAAAUGACCCCGUAACUUCGGGAGAAGGGGUACUCUAAGGGAUUAGAGUCGCAGAGAAAUGGUCCAGGCGACUGUUUAUCAAAAACACAGGUCCCUGCAAAUCCGUAAGGAGAAGUAUAGGGGCUGACGCCUGCCCGGUGCUGGAAGGUUAAGAGGAGAGCUUAGCGCAAGCGAAGGUUUGAAUUGAAGCCCCAGUAAACGGCGGCCGUAACUAUAACGGUCCUAAGGUAGCGAAAUUCCUUGUCGGGUAAGUUCCGACCCGCACGAAAGGCGUAACGAUCUGGACGCUGUCUCAACGAGGGACUCGGCGAAAUUGUAAUACCGGUGAAGAUGCCGGUUACCUGCGACAGGACAGAAAGACCCCAUGGAGCUUUACUGCAACUUGACAUUGGAUUUUGGUAUAAAAUGUACAGAAUAGGUGGGAGGCGGAGAAAGCGGUACGCCAGUAUCGCGGGAGCCGACGUUGGGAUACCACUCUUUUUGUACUGAAGUUCUAACACGCGGCCAGAAACAGGUUGGUGGACAUUGUCAGGCGGGCAGUUUGACUGGGGCGGUCGCCUCCUAAAGAGUAACGGAGGCGCCCAAAGGUUCCCUCAGCGCGGCUGGAAAUCGCGCGUAGAGUGUAAAGGCAAAAGGGAGCUUAACAGAGAGACAAACAAGUCGAACUGGUACGAAAGUAGGGCUUAGUGAUCCGGUGGUACCGAGUGGAAGGGCCAUCGCUCAACGGAUAAAAGCUACCCUGGGGAUAACAGGCUUAUCUCCCCCAAGAGUUCACAUCGACGGGGAGGUUUGGCACCUCGAUGUCGGCUCAUCGCAUCCUGGGGCCGUAUUAGGUCCCAAGGGUUGGGCUGUUCGCCCAUUAAAGCGGUACGUGAGCUGGGUUCAGAACGUCGUGAGACAGUUCGGUCCCUAUCCGUCGCAGGCGUAGGAAAUUUGAGGGGAGCUGUUCCUAGUACGAGAGGACCGGAAUGGACGGAUCACUGGUGUACCAGUUGUCAUGCCAAUGGCAUAGCUGGGUAGCCACAUCCGGAACGGAUAAGCGCUGAAAGCAUCUAAGCGCGAAACCGGCCUCAAGAUGAGAUUUCCCACAGAAUAAUCUGGUAAGGCCCCUGGAAGAUGACCAGGUUGAUAGGCCGGGAGUGGAAGUGUGGCGACAUAUGAAGCGGACCGGUACUAAUAGGGCCGAGGUCUUGACCUA
rnacentral:rRNA from 1 species